CCAUGCAUGGUGUCCAACAUGGGACGUUCCGUCUUUGCCAAUGCUGGGAGAUGUGUGGCACUUUAACUAAUCUGCUAUUUUAAGUGUAUGCCUGAGUACCACGGCCCGCUGAGUUCCACUUUUCUGGAAUGGAAACUGCACCCUAACAUGGCUAUGCCACGCGCAGUAGAACGGCAGCGCCUGCUGUUCCUGAGAACCCGGCCGAGACAUUGAAACGGCGAAGCAACCCAAGCGGUGCCUGCUCAUUCUACCGACGAAACAAACCUGCAGCUUGGAACUUCCACGUCGCUGGAGCUGCUUACAAUCACAGCUCAUGAUGACGCAGUAGUCCGGAGUCAGACCAGCCUUAUUUCAGUCGAAGAAUCCCGUUCAAUUGAACGCUCCGAUUCCGAGAUGCACUUGUGCAGAACUUGUCUGAAGACUUGCACGAUUAUCAGGGACGCAGCCAACUGGUAUCAUCUCCGGCCCGGUUUCUCGUCAAAGGAUGGCUCAACACCCAUAGGAGAACACCUAGGGGUCGUGUUCCAGUCGAAGGACGCGUACGACAGUUCCCAGGAUCCUUGGACUCAUCACAGACUGUAGCAUAUUGGCGCCAUUCUCUCGCGCGAUCCGGCACUCUUCUCCUGACAGGGAACAUCCAUGGCUGUACGGAUCCUUGGUAAGAACUUUACAGCACCCCUUGACUCUUAACCUGGUGGGAGACGGCGUACACGAAUUAUGGCGAUCCUGACACGUGAGUACGGAAGUUUGCGAAUUCACUUUACGCAUCGUGUCCAAUCCUACUGUCGCAGUCCACAUGUCUGUCAAUCUCUGGCUACUCUACGACAGAGAACAACGUAAACAACGUUUCGUCCACCUACCCAGAGUAGUUGUGCCUGGCCUCCUGGGUAGAAACCUCAUAUUACAAAACAAGCUCGACCUUGACUCGUGCGUAUGCCACUACAAGUACCGUCUAGUAAUAUUCUUCUUUUUCAUGGUGUCUGAGGGCCCCAUGGCCUACUCCUUAAACUACUCCCAAGGCCGCUACCCCAGGGCCAGUGCGAGCAGGGCUCUCCGCUGUCAUGGAGAAGUCCACUGGCUCGGCAAUAGACCACUCUCAGCUAUGGGAGAACGUCUCGUCAAGAGCAUGUUUACGGAAAAGCCCGAUAUACAGACGGCUUUCAUGUGCCACCGGGGUUUGUAGAGGGUUAA